rnacentral:rRNA from 1 species
UACGUAGGGCGCAAGCGUUGUCCGGAAUUACUGGGCGUAAAGAGCUCGUAGGCGGUUUGUCGCGUCUGCUGUGAAAACCCGGGGCUUAACUCCGGGCCUGCAGUGGGUACGGGCAGACUAGAGUGCGGUAGGGGAGACUGGAAUUCCUGGUGUAGCGGUGAAAUGCGCAGAUAUCAGGAGGAACACCGGUGGCGAAGGCGGGUCUCUGGGCCGUAACUGACGCUGAGGAGCGAAAGCGUGGGGAGCGAACAGG